GAAGUGGAACAGUAUACACAUGUUCUGUAUACUGUUUGAGGAGCACUAUGCAUGCCAGUGUGUUGUCUCACUUAUGCUCAAUUAUGAGACUGGAAAUGAGACCCGGG